rfam:Prunus persica cultivar Lovell chromosome G3, whole genome shotgun sequence.
AUUGCAGUGAUGAGCCUUAACAUGUAAGAUAAACUAUUUAUAAUGGUUUCUUCAAUGAAAUGUUCUUGUUACGCUUGCACGCAUU